AUCCCUUUAUUGUGUGAUCUCAUAAGUUCAAUUCUAUCUAAUAGUGAGAUAUAAUAUGAUCUCUAUGAUAGUAUCAUUGAAACUUUUUUAAUAGAUUAGAAUGAUUCUACUCUAACUCAUCAAGGAUUAUCGAUCCUGAGCAACCCUAGUGAGCUCUCACAAUCCACCAGUGACACCUAACAGUAUUUAGUGGCAAUUCAAUAGAACCAAAAUAAAACCUUAAGAUAUAGUUCUCAUGUGAUUCAGUCUCUCUAUCGUGAGUCUCGA
rnacentral:lncRNA from 1 species